GAUAAACGCUGGCGGCGUGCCUAACACAUGCAAGUCGAACGUCCUCUCUCGCAAGAGAGAGGGAGUGGCGGACGGGUGAGUAACACAUGGGUCACCUACCCUUAAGUGAGGAAUACCGGCGAGAAAUCGCCGACAAGACCGCAUAGGCUCUCACUUUUGCAAGAGAGAGCAAAGCUUCGCAAGAGGCGCUUGAGGAUGGGGCCUGUGGCCGAUUAGCUGGUUGGAGGGUAAUGGCUUACCAAGGCGACGAUCGGUAGCUGGUCUGAGAGGACGAUCAGCCACACUGGGAUUGAGAACGGCCCAGACUCCUACGGGGGCAGCAGUGAGGAAUUUCCGCAAUGGGGGCAACCCUGACGGAGCAACGCCGCGUGCAGGAAGACGCUUUUCGG
rnacentral:rRNA from 1 species